rnacentral:rRNA from 1 species
UACGGAGGGGGCGAGCGUUAUUCGGAAUUAUUGGGCGUAAAGGGCGCGUAGGCGGCCUUGUAAGUCAAAGGUGAAAUCCCUCGGCUCAACUGAGGAACUGCCUUUGAAACUGCAAGGCUUGAGGCCGGGAGGGGGUAGCGGAAUUCCCAAUGUAGCGGUGAAAUGCGUAGAUAUUGGGAGGAACACCGAUGGCGAAGGCAGCCUCCUGGGCCAAUACUGACGCUCAUGCACGAAAGCGUGGGGAGCAAACAGG